GGGGAUGUAGCUCAGUGGGAGAGCACAUGCUUCGCAUGUAUGAGGUCCUGUGAUCAAUCCCCAGCAUCUCCA
rnacentral:tRNA from 1 species